UGGGGAAUUUUCCGCAAUGGGCGCAAGCCUGACGGAGCAAGACCGCGUGAGGGAGGAAGGCCCUUGGGUUGUAAACCUCUUUUCUCAGGGAAGAAGCAAGUGACGGUACCUGAGGAAUCAGCCUCGGCUAACUCCGUGCCAGCAGCCGCGGUAAUACGGAGGAUGCAAGCGUUAUCCGGAAUUAUUGGGCGUAAAGCGUCCGUAGGCGGUUAUUUAAGUCUGCUGUCAAAGACCACAGCUCAACUGUGGGCGGGCGGUGGAAACUGGGUAACUAGAGUUCGGUAGGGGUAGAGGGAAUUCCCAGUGUAGCGGUGAAAUGCGUAGAUAUUGGGAAGAACACCAGUGGCGAAGGCGCUCUACUGGGCCGAGACUGACGCUGAUGGACGAAAGCUAGGGGAGCGAAAGGGAUUAGAUACCCCGGUAGUCC
rnacentral:rRNA from 1 species